GAGCCGCGCCCGCUGAUUGGCCGCCGCCGGGCGCAAAGUCAUGACGUCCUCCCUACUUCCUGGAACAAAACUAGUUCCCAGCAGUGCUAUUGCGCUUGUGCCAUCCCAUCCUCCACCUUAAAGAAGCCCUUUCUGGCACCAGGCAGUGAGGAAUAGCACAUGGUGAAUAACUGAAGAAUCCUUAAAUAGAAUACUUGCAGUGACUGUUCUUUACAGAAUGUACACUGACUUCUAAUCAAAUCUAAAGGUAAAUCUAAACUUAAUUCUGCUGAAAAUUUUAAAUGAUGAUGGAUUUUCACAUUUAAAAUAAUUAGUUUACCUCCUAGUAUCAGCUGGAAAGUGUUUUUGACACCAUCUUGUGUUUUAUUUUCACCUUCUAUGUAUGAGUGAGAGAUGUCAGCUCUGGAAGCUGCCAGCCUGUUUCCACAGGAGUGGCUUUUCUUCUAGAGGUGUACUGAAACUUGAUGGCACAGUUUCCCUAUAGCAGGCUAAGUCAUGGCAGCUUGCAGUAUGCUUGAUGCUGCUUGUCUUGUUGAUGCCACCAAGAGAGACACAACAACUGACAAAGCAAUAACUGGGAUGCUGAUGAAAAACAAGGCUGCUUCAGCAGUAGCAAACCAUGUUACAUAUGAACCCACCUUUUAAAGGAUCUGGCCUUAAAUUUAUAUUGUGUACUCUGAAUAAAGUGCUCUCGAAGGCUGCUUUUUCCCUGGAAAUAUUUCCUUAUGUAAUUUAGGAAGAGCAAGCAAUCUCAUAUGAGGAGCAGAUAGAUCUGGAGCACUGACACCCGUGGGUACGUUGUGAUGCUGCGUUGCACCUGUUCAGUGGGAUUGCUGGAAUGGGUGAUAAAAGAUAUUCUGAGUGCUAUCAGCUAAUACAAGUGAUACUGUGAUAGAAGCAGACCAGGAGAAGUCAGACCUUAUGGCCGUCUCCUUGUCAGCAGCAGGCUAGUGUCUAUUUCUAGUCUCAGCUCUGACUACUGGUGCUAAGA